rnacentral:rRNA from 1 species
CGUGCCUAAUACAUGCAAGUCGAACGAACUCUGGUAUUGAUUGGUGCUUGCAUCAUGAUUUACAUUUGAGUGAGUGGCGAACUGGUGAGUAACACGUGGGAAACCUGCCCAGAAGCGGGGGAUAACACCUGGAAACAGAUGCUAAUACCGCAUAACAACUUGGACCGCAUGGUCCGAGCUUGAAAGAUGGCUUCGGCUAUCACUUCUGGAUGGUCCCGCGGCGUAUUAGCUAGAUGGUGGGGUAACGGCUCACCAUGGCAAUGAUACGUAGCCGACCUGAGAGGGUAAUCGGCCACAUUGGGACUGAGACACGGCCCAAACUCCUACGGGAGGCAGCAGUAGGGAAUCUUCCACAAUGGACGAAAGUCUGAUGGAGCAACGCCGCGUGAGUGAAGAAGGGUUUCGGCUCGUAAAACUCUGUUGUUAAAGAAGAACAUAUCUGAGAGUAACUGUUCAGGUAUUGACGGUAUUUAACCAGAAAGCCACGGCUAACUACGUGCCAGCAGCCGCGGUAAUACGUAGGUGGCAAGCGUUGUCCGGAUUUAUUGGGCGUAAAGCGAGCGCAGGCGGUUUUUUAAGUCUGAUGUGAAAGCCUUCGGCUUAACCGAAGAAGUGCAUCGGAAACUGGGAAACUUGAGUGCAGAAGAGGACAGUGGAACUCCAUGUGUAGCGGUGAAAUGCGUAGAUAUAUGGAAGAACACCAGUGGCGAAGGCGGCUGUCUGGUCUGUAACUGACGCUGAGGCUCGAAAGUAUGGGUAGCAAACAGGAUUAGAUACCCUGGUAGUCCAUACCCGUAAACGAUGAAUGCUAAGUGUUGGAGGGUUUCCGCCCUUCAGUGCUGCAGCUAACGCAUUAAGCAUUCCGCCUGGGGAGUACGGCCGCAAGGCUGAAACUCAAAGGAAUUGACGGGGGCCCGCACAAGCGGUGGAGCAUGUGGUUUAAUUCGAAGCUACGCGAAGAACCUUACCAGGUCUUGACAUACUACGCUAACCUGAGAGAUCAGGCGUUCCCUUCGGGGACGUGGAUACAGGUGGUGCAUGGUUGUCGUCAGCUCGUGUCGUGAGAUGUUGGGUUAAGUCCCGCAACGAGCGCAACCCUUAUUAUCAGUUGCCAGCAUUAAGUUGGGCACUCUGGUGAGACUGCCGGUGACAAACCGGAGGAAGGUGGGGAUGACGUCAAAUCAUCAUGCCCCUUAUGACCUGGGCUACACACGUGCUACAAUGGAUGGUACAACGAGUUGCGAACUCGCGAGAGUAAGCUAAUCUCUUAAAGCCAUUCUCAGUUCGGAUUGUAGGCUGCAACUCGCCUACAUGAAGUCGGAAUCGCUAGUAAUCGCGGAUCAGCAUGCCGCGGUGAAUACGUUCCCGGGCCUUGUACACACCGCCCGUCACACCAUGAGAGUUUGUAACACCCAAAGUCGGUGGGGUAACCUUUUAGGAACCAGCCGCCUAAGGUGGGACAGAUGAUUAGGGUGAAGUCGU